rnacentral:rRNA from 1 species
AUACGGAGGAUGCAAGCGUUGUCCGGAUUUAUUGGGUUUAAAGGGUGUGUAGGCGGUGUAUUAAGUCAGUGGUGAAAGCCUGCGGCUCAACCGUAGAACUGCCAUUGAUACUGACACACUUGAGUAUGGACGAGGUAGGCGGAAUUUAUGGUGUAGCGGUGAAAUGCAUAGAUACCAUAAAGAACACCGAUAGCGAAGGCAGCUUACUAGGCCAUAACUGACGCUGAGGCACGAAAGCGUGGGGAGCGAACAGGAUUAGAAACCCCAGUAGUCC